CAGACUGUUUCUAGCAUAGCUAGGGGUGU
rnacentral:piRNA from 1 species